GAGGGUAUCGCUCAGUGGUAGAGCGCAUGCUUAGCAUGCACAAGGUCCUGGGUUCAAUCUCCAGUAUCUCCA
rnacentral:tRNA from 1 species